GCCUAACACAUGCAAGUCGAGCGGAAACGACACUAACAAUCCUUCGGGUGCGUUAAUGGGCGUCGAGCGGCGGACGGGUGAGUAAUGCCUAGGAAAUUGCCUUAAUGUGGGGGAUAACCAUUGGAAACGAUGGCUAAUACCGCAUAACGUCUACGGACCAAAGCAGGGGACCUUCGGGCCUUGCGCGUUAAGAUAUGCCUAGGUGGGAUUAGCUAGUUGGUGAGGUAAUGGCUCACCAAGGCGACGAUCCCUAGCUGGUCUGAGGGGAUGAUCAGCCACACUGGAACUGAGACACGGUCCAGACUCCUACGGGAGGCAGCAGUGGGGAAUAUUGCACAAUGGGCGAAAGCCUGAUGCAGCCAUGCCGCGUGUAUGAAGAAGGCCUUCGGGUUGUAAAGUACUUUCAGUCGUGAGGAAGGUUUCGUAGUUAAUAACUGCGUUGCUUGGACGUUAGCGACAGAAGAAGCACC
rnacentral:rRNA from 1 species